UCCAGGCUGCCGACGCUGGGGCUGGUUGCUGAAUCCGAGCCAGUUUUUGCGGCGAGCAGGGCGGGGGGGCCCCGCCUCUCUGCGAGCCCCCAGGAGCGCUUCUGCCUGGGGGGCUAAACUCUGUCCCGUUGGUGGGAGUGUUAAGGCCCAGGGGCUGCGGCUGGGGGUGUCUCCUGUCUGUGGUUGGAGGCAGGCCGGGGGGGGAGCCCCUUCGAGCAGCGGAGAAAUACCAUGCGGGGGGGGGAAGCUUCUGUCCCCUCCGACGUGUGAGGGCGACUGCGCGCAGAGCGGGCCAGGGGGUGACUUGCUGUGGGGAGAGCUCGUGGUGUCAGGGAGCAAUUUCAAUCCGCCCCGGGGAUCCUUCGGGGCUGAGCCCAGAAAUUACACUGACUCCGCGCAUCCAGGCUGCGUCUCUGGCUGCUGCGCUGUGCUCGGGGGCGUUCGGGCUGCUUGUCUCCCUGCGCUCUGCAGCGCCGCAUUGCAACGCGCACGCCAAGGCCGCCUCUCUGCUCGCAGAGAGACUGAAUUGAAUUUGACCCACAGGCUCCUGCUUCUCGCGGCUGCUUUCCUGUGCUAUCCUGGACGAAGGUAUUUAUCCAAUAUUCAUCACAGCGGCAUCUAACCAUUGGGCCAAGGUUCAGAAGCAGGCUGGAGCAGAACAGGUGGGGAGGAAAGUGAAGUAGACUACCACGGCUGCUACUCUGAAACCUGAAUAAAGAUCCUGACUCUGUUUUCAUACUUGUUAUAGAAAUUGUCUGGUUAACUAUGUAAAAGUGAAGCUGAAAUCUAGCUUUCUGCCCUGAUCCAAUCACUGGCUGCUCACAGAACAGAAGGAAGUUUGCCUCUUUGCUCUUACAGGAUGUCAGAAGAACCCACUGAAAAUGAGCUCAGAUCCCUACUCUGGCUUCAGCUGCCGCUCUCCUACUCUCCCUGCCACCUGUUACAUUAUGAACAGGAAUGUUAAGAAGGUUGGCACUGUGAAAAUAAUGCUAUUUUUUCUAAAUAGGGAAAAUACAUGCACUCUGUUGUGGCCAAGAGGUCAAUAAACAGGCUAUAAUGAUAAGUUUUUCCAAAGCUACCAGAUAUUUAACAGGUAUCUUUAACUGAAAGGAAAAUGUAAGAAGGGAUAGGCAGUGAGCGCAUAGAGGUUUUGAAUCGCAUUUCCUCAUGAUGAAGAUAUUACCCCUUUGAGAUAGUUAAAUAGUCGAAGUUUUAAACUUGACAACUUGCCAUUGCAGGUAAGACCUUCACAUCCAGGAUCCUCAGAGGAUGAGAUGAGUGGGUGUGAGGAAGGAAGGUAGUUACAUGGUUAAAGCAUCAGCAUAAGAGUCAGAAGUUGGGGGUUCUGUUUUCAGCUCUGCUUUUGGGUCUACCACAGAUUCAUUGCAUUCUUUAUUUGUAUUAGUAGAGGGCCAAGCAGCCUUAGUCAUGGAGCAGGUCCUCAGUGUCCUAGGUGCUGUUUAAAUACAGCUUCCAGUCUGUUGUUAUGCAUGAGCAGCCUUAAGAAAUGCUGGAUGUAACUCCUUAGUGCUUGACUUUGCAACCUAAAUCAAUUUUUACCCAAUACAAUUUCCUAGUACUUUUUAAACAGCUAACUAAUUCUGUUAUAUACAACUGCACACACUACCACAGACGGCUACCACUUCAUCUACAGAACUAACUCUAUGAGCUGGCAGCAGGAGAAGGUUGUUAUCCCAGAAUAGCUCAUCAGCCACUGGGUUCAUAUGCUGAUUUGGGUGGAGCUCAGCCCAACUCCGCCUCUCGCCACCAUCACCUCCCACGUGGAAUGGGGUUGUGCCUGACUGGGUUGGUUCCCCCCAGCUUGAGGGAUGUACUGCGGGAGGAGUGGGAGGUAGUCCUGUACUGAUUUUGAGAGAGUGGUUGAAUGGAGCUCAGCCUGCUGCUUUCCUUCCCUGCCCUGUGGCAGCUCCCAGACGUUCCCAAUGCAUGGGCUGAGUCUUAGAAGAGCCCUGUUCGAUUAUUGUGGCAGUCAAACAUUUUCCUGGGCAUGUUUCACUGACCUUUUUGACAGUUGGUAACUCAGCCAAAGUGCCAUGAUUCCUCUGCUCAUAUCCCAUCAAGCAGCUGUUUGGUGAGUUAGCGCAUGGAGUCAAAGAGCAUGAAGAAGGCAUAGCUGGGCACUGGGGGCCAGGCGCUUGUUACUGCAUAGAGGCUAAUGCACAUGUGUGACCGAAUGCAUCCUGUAUUCACACCCCACAUGCUAUUGUAAUCAUCUCUGCACAACGGAUGCCUUGUAAGGUAUCAUUUGAAAACUCAUAAUUCACAGGUCAAUAUCAUGGUAAAAGGUGUGUGGCAUUAUAUAUAAAGUUAUGAAUUCCCCCCUGCAUGACAUUGGUGGGACAUGUUCAAACUCCAAAACAAUUAGGCAAAACAGGCGAAACAGGUUUUAAAGGGAUGUGUGUUUACCUCAAAUUUACAUGUAAACAGAGUCCUCAGCCAAUGAAAGGGGGAAGACAGAGGACAAGAGAGGUCUGCAUUUCAGCAAACGGGGUGAGAAAAAACAGCAUGGGACUUUUUACUAGGAGAUUUUGCUGCCUGAUUCGCACAUGGAAGGAAUUUGUACGAGAAAGUGCUCUCAAGAGCUUGCAUUUCCAAUGGGGAAAUGAAAUAUAAAAGUGAGGGGCAAACACCCCAAGCCACUCCUCUCUCCCUGUCCAUCUCCGUCUUUGUAUGUGAGAAGACCAGAAGAAACAGCUGCUGGACUUGAGGGAGGUGUCCUGACAGGAAAAGUUCAGUCUGUAAUGCUGAUAGGAUGUGGUAAGGACUUCACUUUUGAAUCAAGUAUAGUUUAAGUUAAGCACCAGGAAGCUUUUUAUCUUUAUUUUUCAUGUAACCAUUUCUCACUUUCAUGCGUCAUUAUUUGUACUUCCUUAAAAUCUCUUUGUAUUUAAAUAAAUCUGUUUUUAUUCUUUUAUUGAAACUAA